GAAAAAGACCACAGCUUUAUUUACCCAGUGAAGUAUUUCAGGCUCAGUCAGUGUACAUUAAUCUAAGACAGAGUCAUAUCCGAAGUCAGCCUUCCUGCCAAACACGUGCCUCGGCCUACAUCUCACCUGCAGUCCCGCUCGAACGACACGGGCGUGUUUAGCAGGAAAACAUUGUGGCACGGUCAGAAGGAAUUAUAUAUGAUGUAGAACCAUCAUACCUUCAUAAGCAAAAGAGUAAGCAGUUUUGGUUAUUUUCUAACAGCCGCACUAAGCAAUGGUCAGCUACAGAACGUGACCGCGUUGGGUUUUAAUCCAAUUGUUUUGCAGCCUUACUGUUUUUGAGAAUAAGACAGUGGUCCAGCACUCGUCGGGAACAUUGCACAUUUACAUUUCAAAAUAACAUCCUCAUUUAUAAUUGACAUACAGGGUAAAAUGCAAAGAAGAAUUGUGUAUUUAGUAUCACUUUCAACGGUCCCAUUAUCGGUACAUCAUGAGGGUAGACGUUUUUACCACACUAGAACAUUCUGACAACUAUUCGUUUUGCCACCGUACGAAAACAACUUAAAAAUGCCAUUGAAGAAACAAAUGUUUUUCAAAGCCUCCAUAACACGGGUGCGCUUUGACAGAGGUCCCUGUUAUGCAUGCAUAUAUUGUGGCAUACACGCAGACAGAAAUACUUGCUGAUGUAAUUUCGAUUUCCUGAGAUUCACUGUUGAUUUGUAUGGGCUUGUGCAAAAUUUGCAACUGGACAAUUUUAACACCACAUUUUUAAAAAUAAAAUAAGUAUCUUUUCAAAUGGUUACUCUAGUAAUUCGGAUCUGUAAGGCUGUAGGGCUACCUUUAAAAACAGGAACCAUAAUUGUGAGAAGACAGGGGACAAAAACGUCAAUACAUGAGUACCAUUAAGAAGGUAUAAUAUAGUAAAACAAUAAAAGUUGUACUACACAGUACACAUGUUACUAUGGCACAGGAAACCUCAAAGGCAAAUGAAACAUAUCUUCUACAGAGAACAUCAAAGAAUG
ensembl:lncRNA